UUUUGAGGUAGAGGUUGCGUGUUUUAUGAGUAGUUUUUUGGAUGUGGCAGGCACAGAAGAAGGAAAAUGAAAGGAAAAAACGCCGAAAGAAUCUGAAGGCUGUGAUCGGAUUCUUGGGCAUACAGUGAAUAACUGUAUGACUGUCAUUUGCAGUUAUGAAAGGCUGCUGAUGGGGCGCUAUCCGAUGA
rnacentral:ncRNA from 2 species